rnacentral:rRNA from 1 species
CACGUAGGCCCCAAGCGUUGUCCGGAUUUAUUGGGCGUAAAGAGCUCGUAGGCGGUUCAGUAAGUCGGGUGUGAAAACUUUGGGCUUAACCCAAAGCGUGCAUCCGAUACUGCUGUGACUUGAGUUCGGUAGGGGAGCAGGGAAUUCCUAGUGUAGCGGUGAAAUGCGCAGAUAUUAGGAGGAACACCGGUGGCGAAGGCGGCUCACUGGACCGUAUCUGACGCUGAGGUGCGAAAGCUAGGGUAGCAAACGGG